GUAGAACACAUCCAACCUGCCGUCUACUCUUGACAGCCUUCUGAAGGAAGAUAAUCAGAUGGCAUCAUGAGUCCGCAUGUUCACAUGAUUAAAGGUAUUCCGGUAGACGAUGGGGAUGCGUUCCAUUAGAUAGUAGGCGGGGUAACGGCCCACCUAGUCUUCGAUGGAUAGGGGUUCUGAGAGGAAGGUCCCCCACAUUGGAACUGAGACACGGUCCAA
rnacentral:rRNA from 1 species